GAUAUUUUUCACAGAACGUGGUGGAUUCUCAAAUGUAACCACAGUGGCAUCCGCCCUGCAGAGUUGGAGAGCAGAUGCAAUGGUGCAAGUCCUGGGGAUGCUUGCUUGCUGUAGAGCCAGGUGUGCGGAGGGCUGGGUGGGGCCUGCCCCUCACUGCCAGGUAAGCUCCCACACCCCACACUGGAGCGCUCAUGCAGGGCGGUGUGAAGAAAUGGGAACAACUGCCCUCCAUCAAGCAAGCCCCUCAUUUUUAAAAGCAUCCAGAGAGAGACAGGGUAAGAGGAGUAACUGGUUUCUAUGCUGAAUUUAAACAGGUCUUUGUUUUUUUCAUGGUGUUUGCUCUUAAAACAAUGAAGUAAAAUGAUUUUAAUUUACAUGAAUUAAAGACAUAUUCAGAAUGUGUAACCAGGCAAAAUCAUUGAUAGAAAAUUAAUCAGGGCUCUGUGCCACAGCGACUAAGAGGCUGACGUCAAGGACAACCUGGAAUUAGUGGCCUGCUGUCUGCCCUUGCCUAACUAGGUCUAUGGAAAUGAUACUGUCCCCUUAGAAGGUGUUAGCUUGUUUGGGCCUAGAAAGACCUUUGAGGUCUGGAGUUGUCAGCGCCUUGCUUUAUCUCAAUUAUAAACAUCUAUCACUCUUACCUUCCUUCUGCCGCUCCCACUUUCCUCCACCUCAGGUUCAUCCAGGUUGCUGUCAUCUCAUGCCGGAACUUCUGCAAUGGUCUCCUAAUUGGCAACCCCACUACUAGUCUGGUGUGUUCUAAUGCUUCUGGUCCCUUCCAGUGAAAAUUUUAUCCUGCCGACCCACUGCUCAACCCACGAGGACUGUCCAGGGUCCCUACGAGAACAUCAGAAAGUCUGACUUGCUAAUUGGUUUCACCUUGAAGACUGGCUUUGCCGAGAAGUUUAUCCGUCUAGGCAAUUCUGGGAGAGAGGAACAGUGCUGCUGACAGCUACUGAAGAGGCUUUGGUGAAGCCUAGUUUAGUGGGCUUCCAGAAAGUAGAAGUGAGUGGCUCUACAGGUGAUGACCGCCCACAUGCAGGUCAGUGGCUCCCAAGUCUUUACUUUCAACACAACUGAGAGAAGACUUACUAGCGUUAGCAACUGUUACAGGCUGAAUUGUUGAAUUCAACUGUAUAUGUUGAAUGUAUAUGUUCAUAUGUUGAAAUCCUAAUCCCUGGUACUUCAGAAUGUGACCUUAUUUGGAAAUAGGGAGUCUUUCCAGUUAAAUGAGAUUAGGGUGGGUCCUAAUCCAAUAUACUGGUGUCUUUAUGAAAAGGAGAAAUUCACACCCAGAAAUACUAUCCUGUGAAAAUAAAGGCAGAGAUUGGGGGUGACUCUUCUAUAAGCCAAGGAGCCCAAAAGAGGGCUGGCAACCCACCAGAAGUGAGGGAGAGGUAUGGGACGGACUCUUCCUCACAGCCCUCGGAAGGCAUAGCCUCGGCCUGGGGACCUCUAUCUUCCAGAACUAUGAGACAAUACAUUUCUGUUGUUAAGCCAUCUAGUUUGUGAUACUUUGUUACAGCAAUUACUAACAAAUUAAUACAGCAACUUACAGAUCAUUAAAAUUACCUUUUGAUGAUAGAUCACUAUUGGUUUUGUUUUUUGUUUUUUGUAAAAAAAAAAGCUGGAACUUGUGUUAAAAAAUUGAGUGGCUCUGCUCUAACAAAAUCAACUAUUUAUUCAGGGGAUCAAGAUUUCUCAGUGCUUACCUUGUAUGAAAAACUAAAACAAGAAAAAUAGGAAAAUAAUUGAUGCUGAGCCAUGUCUCAUUCUAGUAAUCAGUAAUAUUAUCAUAUAGAUUAAUUAUAUAGGCCCUAUCCAUCUCAGUAGGGGCUGAAUUUCUCCUUAAAGUUACUUUGCAAUAAAACGUAUUUUGAGAUAAUUGUAGAAUGGCAUUGCUGUUAUGAGAAAUAAUAACAGAGAUCCCCUAUACUCUUCACCCAGCUUCCCCCAUGGUAACAUUUUCUAUAACUACAGUACAAUAUCACCAAAAGUUAUUUUUUUUUAAUACUUUUCAAUAUUUACAGUUUAUGAUAUUUUUGAACAAUUGUGCACUACUAAUAGCUGUAAUGAUAGCAUAACCUAAAUAAAUGUUUAAUACCUAAAAUUUAUGGUUACAAGGAAUUGAAAUUUCAAUUUAUAUGCCUUUUUGGCAAAGAAGUAUGAUCAAUAAAAGAUCUUCAAGCGCAAGACCAUAGACCAUAUUACAUUAGAAUAAACUUCCGUGGAGGAAGGAUAGAAUUCAUAGUUUCAAGGAGAUAAAGGAAUGAUAGAAAAUUUCCAAAAGUUAAAUAAGAACUUGUUCUUGUAUUUUUUUUAAAACAGGUGACGGUAGAAAUAAAAUUGAUAAUAUAAUUUAUUUAUAUUCUAUUAGAAACAGAAGAGUGAUAUAAAGGUUUUAUUUAAAAAUAUCAAUAUAUAUUUACAACAAAUUGAAAUUUAUACACUUUACAAUUAUUUAUGAUUAAAAAUGUUUGAUGACAAGUUAAAACUGAGUAAUAACAUUAUUCACGAUAGCUAAAACAGGGAAGUAACCCUGGUGUCCAUAGAGGGAUAAAUGAAUAAAUAAAUGUUAAUAUAUCCAUACAAUGGAAUAUUAUUCAGCCUUAAAAAGGAAGGGAAUUCUGACAUAUACCACAACAUGGCUGAACUAUGAGGACCUUAUGUUAAGUGAAAUAAGCCAGCCACAAAAAGACAAGUACUUUAUGAUUCCACUUACAUGAAGUACAUAGAAUAGUCAAAAUCAUAGAGGCAGGACAUCAAACAGAGUUUGCAUGGGCUGGGGGUAGGGGCAUGGGGCUCAAUGGAUAUAUAGUUACAGUUUUGCAAGAAAAGAGUUCCAAAGAUGGAUGGUGGUGAUGGUUGCACAAUAUGAAUGUACUUAGUACCACUGAACUGUACAGUUAAAAAUGGUGAAGAUGGAAAAUACUGUUAUGUGCAUUUUACCACAAUAAAAACUUUCUUUAAAUGAGUGGAGAAAUAGUCUUUCAUAUUUUGUGGGAA